AAAAAACAAAGAACACUUUAUUCCCUUGACAGUUUCUGUACAGCGACACCAGGCUGUGCAAAGCCCAGUGUCGUCUUCACUGAGCACAUUCCCCAGGACGCCUGGUGCAGCCCUCCUCUGCCCCAGGCCCCAACUAGCCACCCCUGUGCCCACUAGCAGGCCCUGUGCCUUCACAGGGAUGAAGCCCUGGCACUGAGAAUGCCUGGGAGGCACCCGGGCGGUGGGAGUAAACUAGGUCAAGUCACAUUCUCAGGGGCUGGUUCCCUAGGUCUGACUCAGAAAUGAUCAUUCUUACAGCCAGGGCCACAGAGCAAGUGCCUUCGGUACUAGGCAGCAUGGGACAGGGGAGGGCUUCACACUCAAUUAUCUCGGCAUUGGGACAACUGCCCCCAUUUCCAAGAUGGGAAGACAGGCUCAGAGAUGUUUAACAACUUGGCCAAAGCUGUCCUCUCCAGGGACAUGAGCAGCUGUGUUGCUC
rnacentral:lncRNA from 10 species